AUCAGCCAUGCCGCGUGGGUGAAGAAGGCCUUCGGGUUGUAAAGCCCUUUUGUUGGGGAAGAAAUCGUGCGGUUGAAUAUUCCGCGCGGAUGACGGUACCCAAAGAAUAAGCACCGGCUAACUUCGUGCCAGCAGCCGCGGUAAUACGAAGGGUGCAAGCGUUACUCGGAAUUACUGGGCGUAAAGCGUGCGUAGGCGGUUCGUUAAGUCCGUUGUGAAAGCCCUGGGCUCAACCUGGGAAUUGCAGUGGAUACUGGCGAGCUAGAGUACGGUAGAGGAUGGUGGAAUUCCCGGUGUAGCGGUGAAAUGCGUAGAGAUCGGGAGGAACACCCGUGGCGAAGGCGGCCAUCUGGACCAGUACUGACGCUGAGGCACGAAAGCGUGGGGAGCAAACAGGAUUAGAUACCCUGGUAGUCCACGCCCUAAACGAUGCGAACUGGAUGUUGGGCACACUUAGGUGCUCAGUGUCGAAGCUAACGCGUUAAGUUCGCCGCCUGGGGAGUACGGUCGCAAGACUGAAACUCAAAUGAAUUUGACGGA
rnacentral:rRNA from 1 species